AUCGCGGCAGGUGCUCACGUUAAGCCCACUGACUUUCAUGUCCCUAUCUACUAUCUAGCGAAACCACAGCCAAGGGAACGGGCUGGGAAUAAUUAGCGGGGAAAGAAGACCCUUUUGAGCUUGACUCUAAUCUGGCAGUGUAAGGAGACAUAAGAGGUGUAGAAUAAGUGGGAGAUAUUAGACUUCGGUUUGGUAUCGACAAUGAAAUACCACUACUCUUAUUGUUUCCUUACUUACUUGAUUAAAUGGAACGUGUAUCAUUUCCUAGCCAUUAUACGGAUAUAAUUAUUAUGUCUUAUGGUAUUGGGUUUUGAUGCAAGCUUCUUGAUCAAAGUAUCACGAGUUUGUUAUAUAAUCGCAAACAAAUUCUUUAAUGAGAGAAUGCAUUUAUGUAUUAUUGAUUUAAAAAUUUGGUAUAACUCCAAUUACUCAGGUAUGAUCCAAUUCAAGGACAUUGCCAGGUAGGGAGUUUGACUGGGGCGGUACAUCUCUCAAAUAAUAACGGAGGUGUCCCAAGGCCAGCUCAGUGCGGACAGAAACCACACAUAGAGCAAAAGGGCAAAUGCUGACUUGAUCUCGGUGUUCAGUACACACAGGGACAGCAAAAGCUCGGCCUAUCGAUCCUUUUGGUUUAAAGAGUUUUUAACAAGAGGUGUCAGAAAAGUUACCAUAGGGAUAACUGGCUUGUGGCGGCCAAGCGUUCAUAGCGACGUCGCUUUUUGAUCCUUCGAUGUCUGCUCUUCCUAUCAUUGUGAAGCAAAAUUCACCAAGCGUUGGAUUGUUCACCCAUGCCAGGGAACGUGAGCUGGGUUUAGACCGUCGUGGAGACAGGUUAGUUUUACCCUACUAAUGACAAAACGUUGUUGCGACAGCAUUCCUGCGUAGUACGAGAGGAACCGCAGGUACGGACCAAUGGCACAAUACUUGUUCGAGCGAACAGUGGUAUGACGCUACGUCCGUUGGAUUAUGCCUGAACGCCUCUAAGGUCGUAUCCGUGCUGGACUGCAAUGAUAAAUAAGGGGCAAUUUGCAUUGUAUGGCUUCUAAACCAAUUAAAAGUUUUUAAUUUGUUUUAUUAACGACAAUGGAUGUGAUGCCAAUGUUAUUUAUAACAUAGUAAAUUGGGAGGAUCUUCGAUCACCUGAUGCCGCGCUAGUUAUAUUUUAAAACAUUAUUUAAUACAAUGUCAAAGCCUAGAAUCAAUUGUAAACGACUUUUGUAACAGGCAAGGUGUUGUAAGUGGUUGAGCAGCUGCCAUACUGCGAUCCACUGAAGCUUAUCCUUUGCUUGAUGAUUC
rfam:Drosophila virilis strain TSC#15010-1051.87 Ctg01_18139, whole genome shotgun sequence.